rnacentral:lncRNA from 1 species
GUAAAACUUGAGAAAAUCGUUGAAAACGUACAUUUUGCUCUGGCCGCAUGUAUCCCUUGAACCCUUCAUGAAAUUUGCAGACUUCGCGUCGUAUAAUAUAUGUUGUCCCCUGCUUGUCUGCAUAAUUUCAUAGUGAUACGAAUUUUUUUACUUGUUCCAAUUUACGGGACAAAAUGUUGAUAUUUUACACAUAAAUACCCUGUCCAUAUGCCGUAAAACAUUGCAAGAAGAACGAUGUUUCAUGAAUUGUCGUCCAUGUUUGAUAUCAACAAGAAGCUUAGGAACCAGGCUUUCUUCCAGUGCGGGUUACACGGAGGGAUAGCGAUGUAUAUACAAAAUAUUUGAGUCGUUUAUCAUGCGCAUCACUUUAUAUCCCAUCAUAAUAAAUGAAAGG